ensembl:lncRNA
AUGAAGUCUCUUUUAAAUUUGACUGCAUCGUGUCGCCUAACGAUGACCUCCUUCACCUGCAUCAACACGUCUUUGGACCGAAUAUUAAGAUUUCUCAUGAACAGAUACCGAAUGCAAAUUCAACACUUGGAAUCGACUCAAGACUUUUUAUCUCCUUAAUUUGUCAUGAAAUAACGAGGAAACAGGUCACACCUGGCCAUGAAACUGCUUACCAGUCAAUUGUCCCAUUACUUUUGAACCGUGUAAAUGGAGGGACUCUGUAAAAAAAAAAAAAAGGCUGUAAUUCCUAAACGGUUAAAAUGCUAUGUCAUGUAGAUGUGUUAUGUUGUAUUUUACACCUAAAAUGUUAAUGAAGCACAUUACAUAUUAAAAGAAUUUUGAAUGCAGCAGUAAUGUUUUUAACCUUAAUUACUUAUAAA